rnacentral:rRNA from 1 species
GGUGAGUAACACGUGGGUAACCUGCCUGUAAGACUGGGAUAACUCCGGGAAACCGGGGCUAAUACCGGAUGGUUGUUUGAACCGCAUGGUUCAAACAUAAAAGGUGGCUUCGGCUACCACUUACAGAUGGACCCGCGGCGCAUUAGCUAGUUGGUGAGGUAACGGCUCACCAAGGCAACGAUGCGUAGCCGACCUGAGAGGGUGAUCGGCCACACUGGGACUGAGACACGGCCCAGACUCCUACGGGAGGCAGCAGUAGGGAAUCUUCCGCAAUGGACGAAAGUCUGACGGAGCAACGCCGCGUGAGUGAUGAAGGUUUUCGGAUUGUAAAGCUCUGUUGUUAGGGAAGAACAAGUACCGUUCGAAUAGGGCGGUACCUUGACGGUACCUAACCAGAAAGCCACGGCUAACUACGUGCCAGCAGCCGCGGUAAUACGUAGGUGGCAAGCGUUGUCCGGAAUUAUUGGGCGUAAAGGGCUCGCAGGCGGUUUCUUAAGUCUGAUGUGAAAGCCCCCGGCUCAACCGGGGAGGGUCAUUGGAAACUGGGGAACUUGAGUGCAGAAGANGAGAGUGGAAUUCCACGUGUAGCGGUGAAAUGCGUAGAGAUGUGGAGGAACACCAGUGGCGAAGGCGACUCUCUGGUCUGUAACUGACGCUGAGGAGCGAAAGCGUGGGGAGCGAACAGGAUUANAUACCCUGGUAGUCCACGCC